rnacentral:lncRNA from 1 species
UCAUGUUGUGGUAAGUGGGUCCCAUCAAUUCAGACUCAUAUUCUUCAUAUUUCAAGCAUUAUUUAGAUUUUCGGAGACAAAAACACACAUGAUACUUAAAUAAGAGCAACCAGAUCACAUAAUACAAGCUCUAUCCAUUCCAAUACAGAAGACCAUACUGCUUUACAAGCUCUACAAGUGUAACAAGCUCUACAAUUGUAAUACUAACAAGCUCUACAAGUUCUUAGAUUCAGACUCCUAACAAGCUCUACUAGAUGAACAACAUGCCGGACUCGCUCGACGACCAUAGUCAGGUCUGGGAACAAACAAAACAACAACAUGACUUCCACUGUCAUCCUGUUACAUGAAUCAGUGAAGAAUUAGAAUAACUGGGGAAAAUAUAUGUCAUAGCUAACAAAGUAAGAAACAAUAGUUAAUAAGUCUGAGUCAUAGAAGCUAGAAGUGUCCCUUCAGAGAAACGAGAACUUAGAAUUGAUGCAUGGAUCUUAUUCUAAACAGCAUAAACACCAUGGCAAUAACAAAUUAACAGUAACAAGAUUAGUGUUAGCAUAAUUAAGUACAAGGGAAUCACGGGUACCAAUCCAGUGCAAGUUAAUAGAGAAAAUAUGUCAAAGUUACUCAGAUUUACUAAUGUGUUUUUCAUACUACCAAAUUGAAGGUAAAAGAUGUGUACUGAUUCAACACUACAAACUUAUUUCUGAAAGCUUUACCAAAACAUUGUUUAGUCGCUUGGUGCUAAAGCGAUAGAUGUUGAACACUAACUGCCAGCGAUAGUAACAACCAGCAGGUACUAACCAGCAGGUACUGCACCUGCGACCGCCAUCACUAGCUUGGAAGCAAUAAGCAGAGCAUAGGUAGGAUAGGAAUCAUCCUGGUUGUGUGUUCACGAAUCACCUAAUAGGUGCCGUGCCGCAUAAUUGAUUUCUUGAACUCAGUAUGCUACACUUGUCUAUCCCAAAUCAGGGCUCAUGAAUCCUCAUCAAAGUGUGAAAUUUUACCUGAAGUAGGGCAGUGGCCACGUCGAAAACCACGUACAGGUCAAUGGUCUGCGGGGCAUGAGAAGCACAUCAGGAACCCGGCAGUCGCAAGUGGCAGACGAAAAAAAUACUGCUAGGGAAUCUGUACACGAAUGAGGCAUAGAGCAGCAAAAUAAGAUAUAUAUUCAUGAUCUUCACAGCAUGAAUCCAAAUCCUACGGCUGAUAGUGGCCCUUUUUAUACUACAAAAGACACCUGUACACGACCAUUGACACCGUUGAAGAAUCACAACAGCACACUAAGAACAAUGACAGGCUCCGCAAGCCCGUGACAUACUGUACACGGCAAUAGGAGCAAAAAUCUAAUAAAUUCAUUACAGGCUUGCCAAUAAAAAUAACAAGUUACCUACACACAAGGAAACAUAAACUUGAGAGGUUGAGAUCAAGG